UACGGAGGGUGCAAGCGUUAUCCGGAUUCACUGGGUUUAAAGGGUGCGUAGGUGGGUUGGUAAGUCAGUGGUGAAAUCUCUGUGCUUAACAUGGAAACUGCCAUUGAUACUACUGGUCUUGAAUUUUUCCGGAGGUAAGCGGAAUAUGUCAUGUAGCGGUGAAAAUGCUUAGAUAUGACAUAGAACACCAAUUGCGAAGGCAGCUUACUACAGGGACAUUGACACUGAGGCACGAAAGCGUGGGGAUCAAACAGG
rnacentral:rRNA from 1 species